rnacentral:rRNA from 1 species
CUACGGGUUGCUCCAGUGAGGAAUACUGCACAAUGGGGGGAACCCUGAUGCAGCAACGCCGCGUGGAGGAUGACGCAUUUCGGUGUGUAAACUCCUUUUAUAUGUCAAGAAAAUGACGGUAGCAUAUGAAUAAGCACCGGCUAACUCCGUGCCAGCAGCCGCGGUAAUACGGGAGGGUGCAAGCGUUACUCGGAAUCACUGGGCGUAAAGGACGCGUAGGCGGGUUGGAAAGUCAGGUGUGAAAUCCUACAGCUUAACUGUAGAACUGCACUUGAAACUUCUAAUCUAGAGUAUGGGAGGGGGAGAUGGAAUUAGUGGUGUAGGGGUAAAAUCCGUAGAUAUCACUAGGAAUACCUAAAGCGAAGGCGAUCUCCUGGAACAUUACUGACGCUAAGGCGUGAAAGCGUGGGGAGCAAACAGGAUUAGAUACCCCUGUAGUC